rnacentral:lncRNA from 1 species
UAUAUGCAUGCAGUUCCGGGUACGGGUAUGUGGGAGUGUGUGGACUUUUACCCAGUUUCGAUGAGUGAGAUAAACGGUUUGGACACGUCGGUAAGCGGGUCGGGUGUUAAGCAUGUGCUGAAAGCAAGUUUGGAUGAUGACAAGAAUGAUUAUUAUGCACUUGGGGUCUACGAUCCAAUUGAGGAUAAGUGGAUACCGGAUGACCCAAAAUUGGAUGUUGGAAUCGGGUUAAGAUAUGAUUAUGGUAAAUAUUAUGCUUCCAAGACAUUUUAUGAUCAGAAUAAGCAGAGGAGAAUUUUGUGGGGUUGGAUUAGAGAAACUGAUAGUGAAUAUGCUGACAUUU